AAGAGAAGAGCCUGUCAUGAUAGCCAAGGAGACUGCCUGUAUACCACAGAAGGAUCGCUUCUGUUACUAAUCUCUCUCUCUCUCUCUCUCUCUCUCUCUCUCUCUCUCUCUCUCUCUCUCUUUUCUCUCAAUUUUUGUUAACUAUCAUAUAAAUAUUUCGAGACCCCUUGGGAGGCUGCAGGCAAGUCAUCCUUGGCUACAAAACAAGCUCUUUAUC
rnacentral:pre_miRNA from 1 species